rnacentral:rRNA from 1 species
GACGAACGCUGGCGGCGUGCUUAACACAUGCAAGUCGAACGGUGACGACAGGAGCUUGCUUCUGUUUGAUCAGUGGCGAACGGGUGAGUAACACGUGAGCAACCUGCCCCAGACUCUGGGAUAACCCCGGGAAACCGGAGCUAAUACCGGAUAUGACACUCGCACACAUGUGCAGGGUGUGGAAAGUUUUUCGGUCUGGGAUGGGCUCGCGGCCUAUCAGCUUGUUGGUGAGGUAGUGGCUCACCAAGGCGACGACGGGUAGCCGGCCUGAGAGGGCGACCGGCCACACGGGGACUGAGACACGGCCCAGACUCCUACGGGAGGCAGCAGUGGGGAAUAUUGCACAAUGGGCGAAAGCCUGAUGCAGCGACACCGCGUGAGGGAUGACGGCCUUCGGGUUGUAAACCUCUUUCAGCAGGGAAGAAGCGCAAGUGACGGUACCUGCAGAAGAAGCACCGGCUAACUACGUGCCAGCCGCCGCGGUAACAC